CCUCCGAUGGUACACACUGUCAUUAUUGGGGCUGCUGUGAGUGGAGCGCAGCAGGAGGAGGUGGAGUGCCAGGCAGGCACUUUGUCCAGGCGUUCUCAAGCGCCCAGGUCCUCCUGUUGCUCCUUGCGCAACUUCCUCCGGAGCUUACCCACCCUGAUCACCUGCCCCUCCAGCUGCUGGUUUGGUGAGAAUGUGGGUCACAGCUGCAGC